rnacentral:lncRNA from 1 species
UCGGAAAGCAGCAGCAACAAGAUUUGCCGGAAACAGGUUUCUGACGAGGUCGAGGAAGGAGUCCACCGUCUUCUUGCUGGUGGCCGGCACGGCGCCCGGCAGCCCCAGGGCGGGCGCGUUGAGGGCGGAGGCGCCGGCUCCGGGUCGGAUGAUGAAGCCGAGAGCGACGGCGAGGCCGGAGGCCAGCAGCGUGGUGCCUAGGAAGUAGGCGAUGGCGAUGCCGCCCAGGCGGCCGAGCGAGCGCGUGUCCAGGCUGGCGGCCCCGGACACCAGGCUGCAGACCACCAGCGGCAGGAUGACCAUGCGCAGCAUGCGCAGCAGCAGCUCCCCGGGGAAGGCCAGGUAGGCCACCUGCGCCGGGCCCAGCGCCGCGCCGCGCACCGCGGCCCCCAACGCCACGCCGGCCACCACUCCCGACACGGUGAGCAGCACCAGCGCGUUGCGCCGCAGAAAGCCCCGGCAGCCCCGCAUCCGCCCGCCGCCGCUCGCCGCCGCGCCCUCCGCGUGGCCGUUGCCCGCCUUCUCCCCGCCGUCCCCCUUCUCCACGCUGUCCGCCGUCUCCAUGCUGCCCGGUUCGCUCCGGCUGCGGGCGUCCCGCUAGCCGCCCGCCCCCUACUGCCGGGCCCCACCUGCCCGCGCGCGGCCAGGCCCG